rnacentral:rRNA from 1 species
UACGUAGGGGGCAAGUGUUGUCCGGAUUUAUUGGGCGUAAAGAGCGUGUAGGCGGCUGGGUAGGUCCGUUGUGAAAACUCGAGGCUCAACCUCGAGACGCCGAUGGAAACCCUCCAGCUAGAGUCCGGAAGAGGAGAGUGGAAUUCCUGGUGUAGCGGUGAAAUGCGCAGAUAUCAGGAAGAACACCCGUGGCUAAGGCGGCUCUCUAGUACGGUACUGACGCUGAGACGCGAAAGCGUGGGGAGCGAACAGG